CUUAUCUACACUGCACUUUCCCGACACCGGCGCUUUCACCCAACGGUCUGUAGAACGACAAAUAUCCGUGAGCAACGCGCUGCUGGAAACGCCCCCCACGAUGGGUCCCAUUAAGACCAACCCCCUUUACGAGAGAACAGCCUCAUGGAAAGAACCACACCCUCCCGUAACUGCACUUUGCUCUUCACACACGGUGGAGGCAGACCUGUAUACCGCGCACGGCCAUUAUCAGAUGUCCUUGUACUCGGGAAGUGAGAGUGUGAGAGAGGACAAAACUGAAUAAAGAGUGAUUGUGAACUUUUGAUGGAGACCCUGUUAAGGUUUCUGUUCAUCUUCAGUUUUGCCUGGUGGCUCAGUUUUUGUGACUUUCACUUGUGGGAAAAGCUGAAAAAAGAACAAUGGUCAUUAGACACACAGACUCUUCUACAGUUUAACUGCGGGGAGAUCCAGUUUGCACCCACUCUGCUCUCUGGUGCCUGAACUCCGCAUACUACGAAAUUCAAAUGAAUGAAAAGAAAUUGAGGAUAUAUAAAUGUUUCUCUUCUCCACUAUGUGAAGGGCUGGGCAUUUGAACACCAUGCAUAAAACAUUUUUUUUAAUCAGACACGAGGUGAACCAAUAUUUGUAUUUAACAUGGAAUAUCCCAUUUGAAUCUUUAUCAGUCCCGGUAGAAUCUAAAGCUAUUACUAAAAUACUGUUAAUUCAUUUUGUGAAAAGCUUUAGUGUUGUCAUCUGUUUUUGCAGUGGAAUAUAUCUUUAACACUUUAACAGUCUAGAAGCACAAGUAAGUGCUUCAUCCCGAUCUCACAGACGUAAUGUGUACAGGCAAGAGGAAACAAACCCAAACGGAAACUGGCAAGGCGAUAGUGCAUUGUGUCUUUGUGGCAGGUUUCAAGCCUGCAUCAGUCCACUGGAUUAGCCAGAAAGAACAAAUAGCAGACACCAAAACAUUGAGCAGAGAAUAAAGAAAAACGAGAGGCCGAAGCAUCCUGGUAACACACCUCACAGGCACCAAAUGUUUGCUUUUCUGCACUUUGUGUGCAUCCAUGCGUGCAGUGAUGCUCUAAAGUUGGGUGAUGACCAACUUCAAUUCAGUUCUUUAACUUAAUCUCUAGAAUGUGUAUAUGUAUUCAGUCCCCUUAAAUAUUGCAUUCAAGUUUCUGUUUUCAUUUCCCAGAAAACUUUUUUUCCUCCACUGGUUCUGAAAAUGAUAUAUUACCCUUCUUGCUGCCAAACGAUUACAGCCACAGCUAUUCUUGGACAAGCAAUCAUUUUUGUUUGUUGGUGAAAUCGGUUCAUUUUGAAAGCUAAUCAAGGAAAACUCUGACCCCUGUGCAGUGC